rnacentral:rRNA from 1 species
GCGUAAGCGCGCGUAGGCGGUUUUUUAAGUCUGAUGUGAAAGCCCACGGCUCAACCGUGGAGGGUCAUUGGAAACUGGAAAACUUGAGUGCAGAAGAGGAAAGUGGAAUUCCAUGUGUAGCGGUGAAAUGCGCAGAGAUAUGGAGGAACACCAGUGGCGAAGGCGACUUUCUGGUCUGUAACUGACGCUGAUGUGCGAAAGCGUGGGGAUCAAACAGGAUUAGAUACCCCGUAGUCCA